UGGGUAACCUGCCUCAAAGAGGGGAAUAGCCUCCCGAAAAGGGAGAUUAAUACCGCAUAAUAUGUUUAGGUCGCAUGACUUUAACAUCAAAGGAUUUUCUUUUAGAAAUUCCACUUUGAGAUGGACCCGCGGCGCAUUAGCUAGUUGGUGAGGUAACGGCUCACCAAGGCAACGAUGCGUAGCCGACCUGAGGAGGGUGAUCGGCCACAUUGGAACUGACGACACGGUCCAGCCUCCGUAGGGACG
rnacentral:rRNA from 1 species